GACGAAGGGGGCUAGCGUUGUUCGGAAUUACUGGGCGUAAAGGGCGCGUAGGCGGCCUUCUAAGUCGAACGUGAAAUCCCCGGGCUCAACCCGGGAACUGCGUCCGAUACUGGAAGGCUUGAAUCCGGGAGAGGGAUGUGGAAUUCCAGGUGUAGCGGUGAAAUGCGUAGAUAUCUGGAGGAACACCGGUGGCGAAGGCGACAUCCUGGACCGGUAUUGACGCUGAGGCGCGAAAGCCAGGGGAGCAAACGGG
rnacentral:rRNA from 1 species